GGGAAACUGCCUGAUGGAGGGGGAUAACUACUGGAAACGGUAGCUAAUACCGCAUAACGUCGCAAGACCAAAGAGGGGGACCUUCGGGCCUCUUGCCAUCAGAUGUGCCCAGAUGGGAUUAGCUAGUAGGUGGGGUAACGGCUCACCUAGGCGACGAUCCCUAGCUGGUCUGAGAGGAUGACCAGCCACACUGGAACUGAGACACGGUCCAGACUCCUACGGGAGGCAGCAGUGGGGAAUAUUGCACAAUGGGCGCAAGCCUGAUGCAGCCAUGCCGCGUGUAUGAAGAAGGCCUUCGGGUUGUAAAGUACUUUCAGCGGGGAGGAAGGCGAUAAGGUUAAUAACCUUGUCGAUUGACGUUACCCGCAGAAGAAGCACCGGCUAACUCCGUGCCAGCAGCCGCGGUAAUACGGAGGGUGCAAGCGUUAAUCGGAAUUACUGGGCGUAAGGCGCACGCAGGCGGUCUGUCAAGUCGGAUGUGAAAUCCCCGGGCUCAACCUGGGAACUGCAUUCGAAACUGGCAGGCUGGAGUCUUGUAGAGGGGGGUAGAAUUCCAGGU
rnacentral:rRNA from 1 species